CCUACGGGAGGCAGCAGUGGGGAAUAUUGCACAAUGGGCGAAAGCCUGAUGCAGCAACGCCGCGUGAGGGACGACGGCCUUCGGGUUGUAAACCUUUUUAGUAGGGAAGAAGCGAAAGUGACGGUACCUGCAGAAAAAGCACCGGCUAACUACGUGCCAGCAGCCGCGGUAAUACGUAGGGUGCAAGCGUUAUCCGGAAUUAUUGGGCGUAAAGAGCUCGUAGGCGGUUUGUCACGUCUGCUGUGAAAACUGGAGGCUCAACCUCCAGCCUGCAGUGGGUACGGGCAGACUAGAGUGCGGUAGGGGAGAUUGGAAUUCCUGGUGUAGCGGUGGAAUGCGCAGAUAUCAGGAGGAACACCGAUGGCGAAGGCAGAUCUCUGGGCCGUAACUGACGCUGAGGAGCGAAAGCAUGGGGAGCGAACAGGAUUAGAUACCCUGGUAGUCCAUGCCGUAAACGUUGGGAACUAGAUGUAGGGACCAUUCCACGGUUUCUGUGUCGCAGCUAACGCAUUAAGUUCCCCGCCUGGGGAGUACGGCCGCAAAGGCUAAAACUCAAAUAGAAGUUAGAGNGUUGAGAGNGCGACGACGACGACGAGGAGGAGG
rnacentral:rRNA from 1 species